GACGAACGCUGGCGGCGUGCCUAAUACAUGCAAGUUGAGCGCUGAAGGUUGGUACUUGUACCGACUGGAUGGGCAGCGAACGGGUGAGUAACGCGUGGGGAAUCUGCCUUUGAGCGGGGGACAACAUUUGGAAACGAAUGCUAAUACCGCAUAAAAACUUUAAACACAAGUUUUAAGUUUGAAAGAUGCAAUUGCAUCACUCAAAGAUGAUCCCGCGUUGUAUUAGCUAGUUGGUGAGGUAAAGGCUCACCAAGGCGAUGAUACAUAGCCGACCUGAGAGGGUGAUCGGCCAAAUUGGGACUGAGACACGGCCCAAACUCCUACGGGAGGCAGCAGUAGGGAAUCUUCGGACAUGGACGAAAGUCUGACCGAGCAACGCCGCGUGAGUGAAGAAGGUUUUCGGAUCGUAAAACUAUGUUGGUAGAGAAGAACGUUGGUGAGAGUGGAAAGCUCAUCAAGUGACGGUAACUACACAGAAAGGGACGGCUAACUACGUG
rnacentral:rRNA from 1 species